GACGAACGCUGGCGGCGUGCUUAACACAUGCAAGUCGAACGGAAAGGCCUCUUUCGGGGGGUACUCGAGUGGCGAACGGGUGAGUAACACGUGAGUAACCUGCCCUUGACUUUGGGAUAACUUCAGGAAACUGGGGCUAAUACCGGAUAGGAGCUCCUGCUGCAUGGUGGGGGUUGGAAAGUUUCGGCGGUUGGGGAUGGACUCGCGGCUUAUCAGCUUGUUGGUGGGGUAGUGGCUUACCAAGGCUUUGACGGGUAGCCGGCCUGAGAGGGUGACCGGCCACAUUGGGACUGAGAUACGGCCCAGACUCCUACGGGAGGCAGAAGUGGGGAAUAUUGAAAAAUGGGUGGAAGCCUGAUGCAGCAACGCCGUGGGCGGGAUGACGGCCUUGGGGUUGUAAACCGCCAUCGCUCAUGACGAAGCUUUGUGUGACGGUAGUGGGUAAAGAAGCACCGGCUAACUACGUG
rnacentral:rRNA from 1 species